rnacentral:rRNA from 1 species
GAUGAACGCUGGCGGUGUGCCUAAUACAUGCAAGUCGAGCGAACAGACGAGGAGCUUACUCCUCUGACGUUAGCGGCGGACGGGUGAGUAACACGUGGAUAACCUACCUAUAAGACUGGGAUAACUUCGGGAAACCGGAGCUAAUACCGGAUAACAUGUUGAACCGCAUGGUUCAACAGUGAAAGACGGUCUUGCUGUCACUUAUAGAUGGAUCCGCGUCGCAUUAGCUAGUUGGUAAGGUAACGGCUUACCAAGGCAACGAUGCGUAGCCGACCUGAGAGGGUGAUCGGCCACACUGGAACUGAGACACGGCCCAGACUCCUACGGGAGGCAGCAGUAGGGAAUCUUCCGCAAUGGGCGAAAGCCUGACGGAGCAACGCCGCGUGAGUGAAGAAGGUCUUCGGAUCGUAAAACUCUGUUAUUAGGGAAGAACAAAUGUGUAAGUAACUAUGCACGUCUUGACGGUACCUAAUCAGAAAGCCACGGCUAACUACGUG